GUCAACUACCCCCUCCUGAAUCACAGAUUCAGAAGGGGCUUGUAAAAGCCCGAGUUGACUAGCCUGAGUCCUUGUUAUCGGGGACUACGUUCGGCAGGAUGUAGAUACCUUUGGAUAUAUUCGCCAGUCCAAAGCACUAUC
rnacentral:sRNA from 18 species